GUGUGCCUACGGGAGGCAGCAGUAGGGAAUCUUCCACAAUGGGCGAAAGCCUGAUGGAGCAACGCCGCGUGGGUGAAGAAGGUCUUCGGAUCGUAAAACCCUGUUGUUAGAGAAGAAAGUGCGUGAGAGUAACUGUUCACGUUUCGACGGUAUCUAACCAGAAAGCCACGGCUAACUACGUGCCAGCAGCCGCGGUAAUACGUAGGUGGCAAGCGUUAUCCGGAUUUAUUGGGCGUAAAGGGAACGAAGGCGGUCUUUUAAGUCUGAUGUGAAAGCCUGCGGCUUAGCCGGAGGAGUGCAUUGGG
rnacentral:rRNA from 1 species